rnacentral:rRNA from 1 species
GAUGAACGCUGGCGGCGUGCCUAAUACAUGCAAGUCGUGCGAAUGGAUUAAGAGCUUGCUCUUAUGAAGUUAGCGGCGGACGGGUGAGUAACACGUGGGUAACCUGCCCAUAAGACUGGGAUAACUCCGGGAAACCGGGGCUAAUACCGGAUAACAUUUUGAACCGCAUGGGUCGAAAUUGAAGGGCGGCUUCGGCUGUCACUUAUGGAUGGACCCGCGUCGCAUUAGCUAGUUGGUGAGGUAACGGCUCACCAAAGCAACGAUGCGUAGCCGACCUGAGAGGGUGAACGGCCACAGUGGGACUGAGACACGGCCCAGACUCCUACGGGAGGCAGCAGUAGGGAAUCUUCCGCAAUGGACGAAAGUCUGACGGAGCAACGCCGGGUGAGUGAUGAAGGCUUUCGGGUCGUAAAACUCUGUUGUUAGGGAAGAACAAGCGCUAGUUGAAUAAGCUGGCACCUUGACGGUACCUAACCAGAAAGCCACGGCUAACUACGUGCCAGCCGCCGCAGUAA